rnacentral:rRNA from 1 species
GAAAUCCUACGGGACGCAGCAGUGGGGAAUAUUGGGCAAUGGGCGCAAGCCUGACCCAGCAACGCCGCGUGAAGGAAGAAGGCUUUCGGGUUGUAAACUUCUUUUAAGUGGGAAGAGUAGAAGACGGAACCUCUUGAAUAAGCCACGGCUAACUACGUGCCAGCAGCCGCGGUAAUACGUAGGUGGCAAGCGCUGUCCGGAUUUACUGGGUGUAAAGGGCGUGUAGCCGGGCCGGCAAGUCAGAUGUGAAAUCCUAAGGCUCAACCUUGGAACUGCAUUUGAAACUGUUGGUCUUGAGUAUCGGA